AGAACUGGAUUUUUUAAAACUCUAGAUGACUAAAAAUGCUUAAAACCACUAUUCUAACACGCAUUUAAUCCUUGAAACCCAGAAACAAUUCAAUGAGCUAUUUGGUUAAGUUAAAUGCAGUUCUUUGAAAUCUGCUUAAAUGCAUGGCUCACUACCCAAAGGUUCCAGAGAACUCCACUUGCCUGCUUGGGAAGCAGCAAACAAGAAAGUGCAUCUGCAGUGAAGAUGACCACUUUUCAAGGAGCAUGCAUCUGCUGCAGUAGGGAGGGGGCACCAAGCCCACCCAUAAAGAGGGCAUCCAUGGUUGUCACAGCCAAGGAAGUUCUCCUCGUGCUCUACCCUGCAAAAGAAGGCUUUGACCCUGUUGUUCUGUCACCAUAAUUCAAGGUGCCUCACUGCCUCUGUGACUCUUCCAAAUGUGGUUCUUGAUGGAUCACAUGUGACCUCAGGGCUUUGUGAAAGCUCUCAUGCACAGGGAGUCCUUACCCCACCCCCUGGCUCAGUUAUGGCAACACCCACUUCUGCACGUCCAUUCUCAUUUUGUUGUCAUUUCCACUUACGUCCCUGGCUGACGUAGCCUACGGCAUGGUUGUACUCCUGGUGUCACUCUAUGAUACAGGCCUGGGGGUGCCCCUGUCUAGCAACUCUGCCUCUCCUGGGUCUAGCUUGCUUCAGGACUCCCUGAGCCUGGCAGCAGCUCUUGGCGAGGCCCCAUAGGGAUUGCCAGGUUUAGCAAAUGAAAAUAUAGGGAUACUCUCACUUUGUUGCACACCUGAAACUAAUACA
ensembl:lncRNA